rnacentral:rRNA from 1 species
UACGGGGGGGCAAGCGUUGUUCGGAAUUACUGGGCGUAAAGGGCUCGUAGGUGGCCAACUAAGUCGGACGUGAAAUCCCUCAGCUUAACUGGGGAACUGCGUCCGAUACUGGAUGGCUUGAGUUUGGGAGAGGGAUGCGGAAUUCCAGGUGUAGCGGUGAAAUGCGUAGAUAUCUGGAGGAACACCGGUGGCGAAGGCGGG